GUAGGGAAUAUUGGUCAAUGGACGAAAGUCUGAACCAGCCAUUCCGCGUGCAGGAAGAAGAUUCUAUGGAUUGUAAACUGCUUUUAGCAGAGAAGAAACGCCUUCAUUGAUGAGGGUUUGACGGUAUCUGCGGAAUAAGCACCGGCUAACUCCGUGCCAGCAGCCGCGGUAAUACGGGGGGUGCAAGCGUUAUCCGGAAUCACUGGGUUUAAAGGGUGCGUAGGCGGGAAAUUAAGUCAGUGGUGAAAGUCUGUUGCUUAACGAUAGAAUUGCCGUUGAUACUGAUUUUCGUGAAUUGGGUUGAGGUUAGCGGAAUGUGACAUGUAGCGGUGAAAUGCAUAGAUAUGUCAUGGAACACCAAUUGCGAAGGCAGCUAGCUGGGCCUUGAUUGACGCUGAGGCACGAAAGCGUGGGUAGCGAACAGGAUUAGAUACCCCGGUAGUCC
rnacentral:rRNA from 1 species